UACGUAGGUGGCAAGCGUUGUCCGGAAUUAUUGGGCGUAAAGCGCGCGCAGGCGGUCUCUUAAGUCUGAUGUGAAAGCCCACGGCUCAACCGUGGAGGGUCAUUGGAAACUGGGGGACCUGAGUGCAGAAGAGGAAAGCGGAAUUCCACGUGUAGCGGUGAAAUGCGUAGAGAUGUGGAGGAACACCAGUGGCGAAGGCGGCUUUCUGGUCUGUAACUGACGCUGAGGCGCGAAAGCGUGGGGGAGCAAACAGG
rnacentral:rRNA from 1 species